UACCAGACUCCUACGGGAGGCAGCAGUGGGGAAUAUUGGGCAAUGGGCGCAAGCCUGACCCAGCAACGCCGCGUGAAGGAAGAAGGCUUUCGGGUUGUAAACUUCUUUUGUCAGGGACGAAGCAAGUGACGGUACCUGACGAAUAAGCCACGGCUAACUACGUGCCAGCAGCCGCGGUAAUACGUAGGGGGCGAGCGUUGUCCGGAAUCACUGGGCGUAAAGGGCGCGUAGGCGGUAAUAUAAGUCAGAUGUGAAAGGUGGGGGCUCAACCCCUAGAGUGCAACUGAUACUGUAUAACUUGAGUGUGAGAGAGGGAAGCGGAAUUCCUAGUGUAGCGGUGAAAUGCGUAGAUAUUAGGAGGAACACCAGUGGCGAAGGCGGUCUGCUGGACAGCAACUGACGCUGAGGCGCGAAAGCGUGGGGAGCAAACAGGAUUAGAUACCCCAGUAGA
rnacentral:rRNA from 1 species